rnacentral:rRNA from 1 species
UAGGGAAUCUUCCACAAUGGACGCAAGUCUGAUGGAGCAACGCCGCGUGAGUGAAGAAGGUUUUCGGACCGUAAAGCUCUGUUGUUGGUGAAGAAGGAUAGAGGUAGUAACUGGCCUUUAUUUGACGGUAAUCAACCAGAAAGUCACGGCUAACUACGUGCCAGCAGCCGCGGUAAUACGUAGGUGGCAAGCGUUGUCCGGAUUUAUUGGGCGUAAAGCGAGCGCAGGCGGAAGAAUAAGUCUGAUGUGAAAGCCCUCGGCUUAACCGAGGAAUUGCAUCGGAAACUGUUUUCUUGAGUGCAGAAGAGGAGAGUAGAACUCCAUGUGUAGCGGUGGAAUGCGUAGAUAUAUGGAAGAAUACCAGUGGCGAAGGCGGCUCUCUGGUCUGCAACUGACGCUGAGGCUCGAAAGCAUGGGUAGCGAACAGGAUUAGAUACCCUUGGUAGUCCAUGCCGUAAACGAUGAGUGCUAAGUGUUGGGAGGCUUCCGCCUCCCAGUGCUGCAGCUAACGCAUUAAGCACUCCGCCUGGGGGAGUACGACCGCAAGGUUGAAAC